AUACGUAGGGAGCGAGCGUUGUCCGGAAUUACUGGGCGUAAAGGGCGCGUAGGCGGCGCUUCAAGUCGUCUGUCAAAUGGGAGGGCUUAACCCUUUUUCGCAGACGAAACUGGAGAGCUUGAGAAGCAGAGAGGCAAACAGAAUUCCUGGUGUAGCGGUGAAAUGCGUAGAUAUCAGGAAGAAUACCAGUGGCGAAGGCGGUUUGCUGGCUGCAUACUGACGCUGAAGCGCGAAAGCCAGGGGAGCGAACGGGAUUAGAUACCCCGGUAGUCCUGGCAGUAAACGAUGUAUGCUGGGUGUGAGACUAGCGAUAGUUUCGUGCCGAAGUUAACGCGAUAAGCAUACCGCCUGGGGAGUGCGGUCGCAAGAUUGAAACUCAAAUGAAUUGACGGG
rnacentral:rRNA from 1 species